rfam:Hordeum vulgare subsp. vulgare, WGS project CAJW01000000 data, contig: morex_contig_2553430
UAAAUACUCCCUCCGUCCGCAAAUACUUGUCAUAAGAAUGGAUGUAUCUAAAUGUAUUUUAGGUCUUGAUACAUCCAUUUCCAUCCAUUUAUGCGACAAGUAAUUUUGGAUGGAGGGAGUAGUUC